GACGAACGCUGGCGGCGUGCUUAACACAUGCAAGUCGAACGGAAAGGCCCUGCUUUUGUUGGUUGCUCGAGUGGCGAACGGGUGAGUAACACGUGAGUAACCUGCCCUUGACUUUGGGAUAACUUCAGGAAACUGGGGCUAAUACCGGAUAGGAGCUCCUGCUGCAUGUUGGGGGUUGGAAAGUUUCGGCGGUUGGGGAUGGACUCGCGGCUUAUCAGCUUGUUGGUGGGGUAGUGGCUUACCAAGGCUUUGACGGGUAGCCGGCCUGAGAGGGUGACCGGCCACAAUGGGACUGAGAUACGGCCCAGACUCCUACGGGAGGCAGCAGUGGGGAAUAUUGCACAAUGGGCGGAAGCCUGAUGCAGCAACGCCGCGUGCGGGAUGACGGCCUUCGGGUUGUAAACCGAUUUCGCCUGUGACGAAGAGUGAGUGACGGUAAUGGGUAAAGAAGCACCGGCUAACUACGUG
rnacentral:rRNA from 1 species